UACAGAGGUCCCAAGCGUUGUUCGGAUUCAUUGGGCGUAAAGGGUGCGUAGGUGGCGCUGUAAGUCGGGUGUGAAAUUUCGGAGCUUAACUCCGAAACUGCAUUCGAUACUGCGGUGCUUGAGGACUGGAGAGGAGACUGGAAUUCAUGGUGUAGCGGUGAAAUGCGCAGAUAUCAGGAGGAACACCGGUGGCGAAGGCGGCCACCUAGCCCGCACCUGACGCUGAGGCGCGACAGCGUGGGGAGCGAACUGG
rnacentral:rRNA from 1 species